UGGGGAAUUUUGGACAAUGGGCGAAAGCCUGAUCCAGCAAUGCCGCGUGUGUGAAGAAGGCCUUCGGGUUGUAAAGCACUUUUGUCCGGAAAGAAAUCCUUGGCUCUAAUACAGUCGGGGGAUGACGGUACCGGAAGAAUAAGCACCGGCUAACUACGUGCCAGCAGCCGCGGUAAUACGUAGGGUGCAAGCGUUAAUCGGAAUUACUGGGCGUAAAGCGUGCGCAGGCGGUUUGCUAAGACCGACGUGAAAUCCCCGGGCUCAACCUGGGAACUGCAUUGGUGACUGGCAGGCUAGAGUAUGGCAGAGGGGGGUAGAAUUCCACGUGUAGCAGUGAAAUGCGUAGAGAUGUGGAGGAAUACCGAUGGCGAAGGCAGCCCCCUGGGCCAAUACUGACGCUCAUGCACGAAAGCGUGGGGAGCAAACAGGAUUAGAUACCCUGGUAGUCCACGCCCUAAACGAUGUCAACUAGUUGUUGGGGAUUCAUUUCCUUAGUAACGUAGCUAACGCGUGAAGUUGACCGCCUGGGGAGUACGGUCGCAAGAUUAAAACUCAAUGAAUUGACGGGGUCAUAGCUGUUUCCU
rnacentral:rRNA from 1 species